ACACAUGCAAGUCGAGGGGCAGCAUGAUUGAAGCUUGCUUCAAUUGAUGGCGACCGGCGCACGGGUGAGUAACGCGUAUCCAACCUUCCGUACACUCAGGGAUAGCCUUUCGAAAGAAAGAUUAAUACCCGAUGGUAUGAUGAGAUUGCAUGAUAGCAUCAUUAAAGAUUUAUCGGUGUACGAUGGGGAUGCGUUCCAUUAGGUAGUAGGCGGGGUAACGGCCCACCUAGCCGACGAUGGAUAGGGGUUCUGAGAGGAAGGUCCCCCACAUUGGAACUGAGACACGGUCCAAACUCCUACGGGAGGCAGCAGUGAGGAAUAUUGGUCAAUGGACGAGAGUCUGAACCAGCCAAGUAGCGUGAAGGAUGAAGGUCCUACGGAUUGUAAACUUCUUUUAUAAGGGAAUAAAACCUCCCACGUGUGGGAGCUUGUAUGUACCUUAUGAAUAAGCAUCGGCUAACUCCGUGCCAGCAGCCGCGGCAAUACGGAGGAUGCGAGCGUUAUCCGGAUUUAUUGGGUUUAAAGGGAGCGCAGACGGGUCGUUAAGUCAGCUGUGAAAGUUUGGGGCUCAACCUUAAAAUUGCAGUUGAUACUGGCGUCCUUGAGUGCGGUUGAGGUGUGCGGAAUUCGUGGUGUAGCGGUGAAAUGCUUAGAUAUCACGAAGAACUCCGAUUGCGAAGGCAGCACACUAAGCCGUAACUGACGUUCAUGCUCGAAAGUGUGGGUAUCAAACAGGAUUAGAUACCCUGGUAGUCCACACGGUAAACGAUGGAUACUCGCUGUUGGCGAUAUACAGUCAGCGGCUUAGCGAAAGCGUUAAGUAUCC
rnacentral:rRNA from 1 species